UCCGCGUGGGUAUAAAAGGGGUGGUGCGUGUGCGCAUUUUGCACUCGGGUGACGCAGCAGGACUGAGCCAGGGACCUGCCGACAGCGUGACCUGCGUCGAAAUGGCCAGCCCUCGCUGUCGCAGCGGCGGCUGGCGGCGGGUCACGGCGCGCCCGGUGCCGCGGCCGCCGGCGUCAUGCUGACGCCGCCCGGUCGCGCGGCUGGCCCGCGCUGCCUGCCGCGGCUCCCGCGCAGAGCCGCGACCAUGGGAACAAGCGUAUUUUAAUAAAACACAAUUAGCUUAAAACGGGAAUACUUAUUAACUGACAAGAGUAGCAAUUGCACAAUUAUAGACUCAGCCGCACCGCGCCGGGUUGGUGCAGCGGCGCGGACCGGCAGAGAGGCCGUCGGCGCAACAAACCGACCCUAGGUGCCACUGACGGUCACCACUAACCGAUGUAGACUUUCAUUAUUCAUAUUUUUCUAUUACGUGGAGCAUUCGUUCCGCUUUUCCGUUACUUCAAGCAUAUUGUAUUUAGUUGUGGGAGUAUAGUCUUAGGUAAGUGAACACGCAUAACCGCGAUAAUAAAUUGAAAUUCUCAAGUCGAAUAAGCUUAGAUAUAGUUUUUUGUUUUUGUUAAUUCGUUCACAACAGUCAGCAAUUCUAGUUUAUGAGCGAAACCAUUUUUUUUUGUAUUUAGUUUGUAAGUUUUUUUUUUGUAUUUUUGAGAGUGUUUUUGUUAUAGGAAGUACACAUAAAGUUAGUUUAGAAACGUUACUUUUUCACAUAUGUUUUCUUUUUCAUUAUAUUGUUUAUUAUGCUA